UUGGUUAACUUCACACUAGAGUGAUCUCCAUCUGUUUAGAACCUCAGAAAAAUCCCGUCUAGUAUGAAGGAUGGGCAAGACUUUAGACUGCUUGUUUUAUCUGAACUGGAUUAUUUACCCUUAAUGCACACCAUUGUUUUAGACGUCUGUGCUGUUAGCUGCUGAAGUGCAAACUUGGAACAAGGGCCAGCGCUUGCUACAGGUCUGAAUUUGGCCCAGAAUCCUGAAUUUAGGGGCUGGCAGGUUAGAGAAGAAGGAAUUGCUUUUCAAAUAUUUUGUUUUAAACUAUGAGUAUUCUCCAUAGGCUAUCAAAGCUUUGUUAUUACGAAGAGGCUGUUAGCAACAGAAUUUACUUGAAACAACAACUGAGGAUUUGACAAGGGAGGCAGAGAUGUUGAUAAAAAUGAAUCCGAUCUGGAGCUCAAGUUGAUAGGAUGAAUUCACGUGCAGGUUUCCUCUUCAUGGAGCAAUCAACAAGGUCUUUGUCCUUUGAUGUUCACAAUGGCUCAUUUGGUUUCAAUGGAUCCUCUUGUGGGCAGGACCUAACAUCUUCUGUAGGAAGCCAGCGUUUUACACCAAUUAAUGCUUCUUUUCUGUUUGGUCAAAAGUCUGGAGGCUGAUUCUACUCUGACACCACCAUUUUACAAGGGACUGACUUUGUUAGUGUCACCAGAGAUACUCCUGAUCUGCACCUCUGUCACUCAUUGCAGCCUGAAAAGAUGGGAAAACUUCCCCACCGCUUCAGUCAUGGUUAAAUCAGAAUACAAACACGUCUGACAAAAAUAAACUGGCUCUUUGGAUUUUCUGAGAUGUCAGCUAUGGCCUGUGUGCAUAACGGCCAAUAUGCCAGAGAGUACUUAAAGUCACUGGUCACAGUGUAGAGUAAUGAAAUUAAACCAGGUCUCAAAGAGGAUGUGAAAAGAAUACUCUUCUACCGUGACUCAACUGAAUUAUUUCUUUUAAAUAAAAACUACCAUGUUAAUCUCA